rnacentral:rRNA from 1 species
CUGUGAAGGUGUGUCGUGAGGCAUGCUGGAGGUAUCAGAAGUGCGAAUGCUGACAUAAGUAACGAUAAAGCGGGUGAAAAGCCCGCUCGCCGGAAGACCAAGGGUUCCUGUCCAACGUUAAUCGGGGCAGGGUGAGUCGACCCCUAAGGCGAGGCCGAAAGGCGUAGUCGAUGGGAAACGGGUUAAUAUUCCCGUACUUGGUGUUACUGCGAAGGGGGGACGGAGAAGGCUAUGUUGGCCGGGCGACGGUUGUCCCGGUUUAAGCGUGUAGGUGUGUGUUCCAGGUAAAUCCGGUUCACUUUAACACUGAGGCGUGACGACGAGGCACUACGGUGCUGAAGCAACAAAUGCCCUGCUUCCAGGAAAAGCCUCUAAGCAUCAGGUAACAUCAAAUCGUACCCCAAACCGACACAGGUGGUCAGGUAGAGAAUACCAAGGCGCUUGAGAGAACUCGGGUGAAGGAACUAGGCAAAAUGGUGCCGUAACUUCGGGAGAAGGCACGCUGACACGUAGGUGAAGUGAUUUACUCAUGGAGCUGAAGUCAGUCGAAGAUACCAGCUGGCUGCAACUGUUUAUUAAAAACACAGCACUGUGCAAACACGAAAGUGGACGUAUACGGUGUGACGCCUGCCCGGUGCCGGAAGGUUAAUUGAUGGGGUCAGCGCAAGCGAAGCUCCUGAUCGAAGCCCCGGUAAACGGCGGCCGUAACUAUAACGGUCCUAAGGUAGCGAAAUUCCUUGUCGGGUAAGUUCCGACCUGCACGAAUGGCGUAAUGAUGGCCAGGCUGUCUCCACCCGAGACUCAGUGAAAUUGAACUCGCUGUGAAGAUGCAGUGUACCCGCGGCAAGACGGAAAGACCCCGUGAACCUUUACUAUAGCUUGACACUGAACAUUGAGCCUUGAUGUGUAGGAUAGGUGGGAGGCUUUGAAGUGUGGACGCCAGUCUGCAUGGAGCCGACCUUGAAAUACCACCCUUUAAUGUUUGAUGUUCUAACGUGGACCCGUUACCCGGGUUGCGGACAGUGUCUGGUGGGUAGUUUGACUGGGGCGGUCUCCUCCUAAAGAGUAACGGAGGAGCACGAAGGUUGGCUAAUCCUGGUCGGACAUCAGGAGGUUAGUGCAAUGGCAUAAGCCAGCUUGACUGCGAGCGUGACGGCGCGAGCAGGUGCGAAAGCAGGUCAUAGUGAUCCGGUGGUUCUGAAUGGAAGGGCCAUCGCUCAACGGAUAAAAGGUACUCCGGGGAUAACAGGCUGAUACCGCCCAAGAGUUCAUAUCGACGGCGGUGUUUGGCACCUCGAUGUCGGCUCAUCACAUCCUGGGGCUGAAGUAGGUCCCAAGGGUAUGGCUGUUCGCCAUUUAAAGUGGUACGCGAGCUGGGUUUAGAACGUCGUGAGACAGUUCGGUCCCUAUCUGCCGUGGGCGCUGGAGAACUGAGGGGGGCUGCUCCUAGUACGAGAGGACCGGAGUGGACGCAUCACUGGUGUUCGGGUUGUCAUGCCAAUGGCACUGCCCGGUAGCUAAAUGCGGAAGAGAUAAGUGCUGAAAGCAUCUAAGCACGAAACUUGCCCCGA